rnacentral:rRNA from 1 species
UACAUAGGGUGCGAGCGUUAAUCGGAAUUACUGGGCGUAAAGCGUGCGCAGGCGGUUUUGUAAGCCAGAUGUGAAAUCCCCGGGCUUAACCUGGGAAUGGCAUUUGGGACUGCAAGGCUUGAGUUUGGCAGAGGAGACUGGAAUUCCUGGUGUAGCAGUGAAAUGCGUAGAUAUCAGGAGGAAUACCGAUGGCGAAGGCAGGUCUCUGGGCUAGAACUGACGCUCAUGCACGAAAGCGUGGGGAGCAAACAGG